rnacentral:tmRNA from 1 species
GGGGCCGUACAGGUUUUGACGGGGGGAUGUCUGGCCCAGGCUGCAGUGGGGUGGCGACCCGAACCGCCAAACCAAAAUAACUGACAACAACACUGUCAAACCUUGGAUGCUCGGUGCUUCGCAUCGCGCUUCCGCCGCUCUUGCCUAAUUAGAGCUCCACAAGAUGGACCCCGCCUUUUGCGGGGAGAGCACGUUCACCUCUGACUUCCUCGCUUUAUAGGGGGCUGGGCGCAAUACAAGGCGAUAAGCCGCUGGGUUGGCUGGCCCAUCGGACGAAAAUCUAAAGCCGGGUCCAGGGGAAGUUGGUUCCCGUCGCCCUCUGGACUAAAAGGCGGGGACUAAACUGUAGAAGCCUCGGUGGGACGCCCUUCGGACCAGGGUUCGAUUCCCUGCGACUCCACCA